AACGAACGCUGGCGGCAGGCUUAACACAUGCAAGUCGAACGCGUGUAGCAAUACACGAGUGGCGCACGGGUGAGUAACGCGUGGAUAUCUGCCUUUUGGUUCGGAAUAACUCCGGGAAACUGGAGCUAAUACCGGAUGGUUCCUACGGGAUAAAGAUUUAUCGCCAAAAGAUGAGUCCGCGUACGAUUAGCUAGUUGGUGAGGUAAUGGCUCACCAAGGCGACGAUCGUUAGCUGGUCUGAGAGGACGAUCAGCCACACUGGGACUGAGACACGGCCCAGACUCCUACGGGAGGCAGCAGUGGGGAAUAUUGGACAAUGGGGGCAACCCUGAUCCAGCCAUGCCGCGUGAGUGAUGAAGGCCUUCGGGUUGUAAAGCUCUUUUGGCGGGGACGAUGAUGACGGUACCCGCAGAAUAAGCCCCGGCUAACUUCGUGCCAGCAGCCGCGGUAAU
rnacentral:rRNA from 1 species